rnacentral:rRNA from 1 species
GAUGAACGCUGGCGGCGUGCCUAAUACAUGCAAGUCGAGCGAACAGACGAGGAGCUUGCUCCUCUGACGUUAGCGGCGGACGGGUGAGUAACACGUGGAUAACCUACCUAUAAGACUGGGAUAACUUCGGGAAACCGGAGCUAAUACCGGAUAAUAUAUUGAACCGCAUGGUUCAAUAGUGAAAGACGGUUUUGCUGUCACUUAUAGAUGGAUCCGCGCCGCAUUAGCUAGUUGGUAAGGUAACGGCUUACCAAGGCAACGAUGCGUUGCCGACCUGAGAGGGUGAUCGGCCACACUGGAGCUGAGACACGGUCCAGACUCCUACGGGAGGCAGCAGUAGGGAAUCUUCCGCAAUAGGCGAAAGCCUGACGGAGCGACGGCGCGUGAGUGAUGAAGGUCUUCGGAUCGUAAAACUCUGUUAUUAGGGAAGAACAAAUGUGUAAGUAACUGUGCACGUCUUGACGGUACCUAAUCAGAAAGCCACGGCUAACUACGUG